AUACCUGGCGGCAUGCCUUAUGCAUCGCAAGUAGAACGAGUCUGGCAAGAGAUAGUUGCGAACGGCUGAGUAAUGGAUAGGAAUCUCCCCAAUGGUGUGGAAUACCUCAUCGAAAGAUGAGCUAAUACCGCAUAACCCCGCAAGGGAAAAGCGCUUAACCGCGCGCCGAUGGAUGAGCCUAUCUCCCAUCAGGUAGUUGGUAGGGUAAUGGCCUACCAAGCCAAUGACGGGUACCCGCCCUGAGAGGGGAAACUGGGCAGAAUGGGACUGAGACACGGCCCAUACACCUACGGGUGGCAGCAACAGGGAAUCGUACGCAAUGGACUGAAAGUCUGACGUCGCAAUGCCGCGUGGGGGAUGAAGGCCUUCGGGUCGUAAACUCCUUUUAUAGUAAUAGAGAUGUUAUUAAGAAUAAGCACCUGCUAACUCUGUGCCAGCAGCCGCGGUAAUACAGAGGGUGCAAGCGUUAUCCGGAUUUAUUGGGCGUAAAGCGUUUCGUAGGUGGAUUUAUAAGUUACCCUUCAAAGACUACGGCUUAACCGAGAAGGGGUAAUACUGUGAGUCUUGAUUAUGGUGGGAUUCUGGAACUGAUGGUGUAGUAGUGAAAUACGUUGAUAUCAUCAGACUCCAAGGCGAAGGCAGGAUACUACCAUUAAUGACCUGAGGAACGACAGCUAGGGAGCGAAGGAUUAGAGACCCUGUAGUCCUAGCCGUAACUAUGUUCGCUAGGAUUUGAGGUUACUCAUGUCCGCAGCUAACGCGUUAGCGAACCGCCUGGGAGUACGGCCGCAAGGCUAAACUCAAAGGAAUUGACGGGGACCCGCACAACCAGUGGAGCAUGUGGUUUAAUUCGAGACGAAACGAAGAACCUUACCCAGUUUUGACAUGCAAUCGUUUUAAGCACCUAGAAAUAGGAGCCUAUCUUUAGAAAUAUGGAUGAUUGCACAGGUGUUGCAUGGCCGUCGUCAGCUCGUGCCGUAGGGUGUUCCCUUCAGUGGGGUAACGAGCGCAACCCUUGCCAAAUAUUAAAUAUCUAUUUGGGACUACUUGAAUUUAUUUCAGGUGGAAGUGAGGACGACGUCAGGUCAGCAUGGCCCUUAUGACUGGGGCUACACACAUGCUACAAUGGAGCCGACAGAGGGUAGCCAAGUGGUAACACGGAGCUAAUCCCAUCAAACGGCUUCUCAGUGGGGAUUGGGGGCUGCAAUUCGCCCCCAUGAACGCGGAAUUGGUAGUAAUCGCGCAUCAGCUAUGGCGCGGUGAAUACGUUCUCGGGUCUUGUACACACCGCCCGUCAAGUUAGCAAAGUUGUAGGUACCUUAAAGGCCAAUGUUUGGUCUCAAGGUAAAAACAGCGAUAGAAU
rnacentral:rRNA from 1 species